GGUUUUAGUACAGGAGAAUUUUGCCAUGGAGGUUCCCACGCCCAGCUGCAAAAGGAGGAAUGCUGGGACACUUUCCAAUAGGCCCUGCUCAACUUUCAAAGUGGGCAUGUCAUGUCCAGGAACUGUCUUCAACCCACUCCGUGAUCUCGCACUCUGAAGCUCUUGGCAACUUCUUGUGCUCUUGGAUAGAACAGUUGCAUCUGGCUACUGAGGUCUGCUGAGAAGAUCAUCGCGGUCUCUCUUUCCGCCAUCACGGACAUUUACACCACUAGCUGCAUCCACAAAGGAAACAGCAUUAUGAAGGACCCCAUGCUCCCCUCAUACAAUCUCUUCUCCCUCCUGCCGUCUGGGAAAAGGCUCCGAAGCAUUUCAGCUCUCACAACCAGACUAUGUAACAGUUUUUUCCCCCAAACUAUCAGACUCCUCAAUACCCAGAGCCUGGACUGACACCUUACUGCCCUAUUGUCCUGUUUAUUAUUUAUUGUAAU